rnacentral:rRNA from 1 species
UACGUAGGUCCCGAGCGUUGUCCGGAUCUAUUGGGCGUAAAGCGAGCGCAGGUGGUUUAUUAAGUCUGGUGUAAAAGGCAGUGGCUCAACCAUUGUAUGCAUUGGAAACUGGUAGACUUGAGUGCAGGAGAGGAGAGUGGAUUUCCAUGUGUAGCGGUGAAAUGCGUAGAUAUAUGGAGGAACACCGGUGGCGAAAGCGGCUCUCUGGCCUGUAACUGACACUGAGGCUCGAAAGCGUGGGGAGCAAACAGG